rnacentral:rRNA from 1 species
GACAGAGGGUGCAAACGUUGCUCGGAAUCAUUGGGCGUAAAGCGCGUGUAGGCGGCUUGUUACGUCGGGUGUGAAAGCCCGGGGCUCAACCCCGGCAGUGCACCCGAAACGGGGAAGCUGGAGUACUGGAGAGGCGAGUGGAAUUCCCGGUGUAGAGGUGAAAUUCGUAGAUAUCGGGAGGAACACCAGUGGCGAAGGCGACUCGCUGGCCAGUGACUGACGCUGAGACGCGAAAGCGUGGGGAGCAAACAGG